CGGGUGCACUGAUCCGGCCGGGCCUUUCCCUCUGUGGAACCCCAUGGCCUUCACUGGCUGUGCGGGGGAAACAGGACUUUUACUGUGAAAAAAUUAGAGUGCUCCAGGCAGGCCUAUGCUCGAAUACAUUAGCAUGGAAUAAUAGAAUAGGACGCGUGGUUCUAUUUUGUUGGUUUCUAGGACCGCCGUAAUGAUUAAUAGGGACAGUCGGGGGCAUCAGUAUUCAAUUGUCAGAGGUGAAAUUCUUGGAUCUAUUGAAGACUAACUACUGCGAAAGCAUUUGCCAAGGAUGUUUUCAUUGAUAAGGAACGAAAGUUAGGGGAUCGAAGACGAUCAGAUACCGUCGUAGUCUUAACUAUAAACUAUGCCGACUAGGGAUCGGACGAUGUUAUUUCUUGACGCGUUCGGCACCUUUCGAGAAAUCAAAGUGCUUGGGCUCCAGGGGGAGUAUGGUCGCAAGGCUGAAACUUAAAGAAAUUGACGGAAGGGCACCACCAGGGGUGGAACCUGCGGCUUAAUUUGACUCAACACGGGGAAACUCACCAGGUCCAGACACAGUGAGGAUUGACAGAUUGAGAGCUCUUUCUUGAUUCUGUGGGUGGUGGUGCGUGGCCGUUCUUAGUUGGUGGAGUGAUUUGUCUGCUUAAUUGCGAUAACGAACGAGACCUUAACCUGCUAAAUAGCCCGUACUGCUCUGGCAGUUCGCCGGCUUCUUAGAGGGACUAUCGG
rnacentral:rRNA from 1 species